rnacentral:rRNA from 1 species
AAUAUUGCACAAUGGGGGAAACCCUGAUGCAGCAACGCCGCGUGAAGGAAGACGGUUUUCGGAUUGUAAACUUCUGUUCUUAGUGAAGAUAGUGACGGUAGCUAAGGAGCAAGCCACGGCUAACUACGUGCCAGCCGCCGCGGUAAUACGUAGGUGGCAAGCGUUGUCCGGAAUUACUGGGUGUAAAGGGAGCGCAGGCGGGAAGCCAAGUCAGCUGUGAAAACUACAGGCUUAACUUGUAGACUGCAGUUGAAACUGGUUUUCUUGAGUGAAGUAGAGGUUGGCGGAAUUCCGAGUGUAGCGGUGAAAUGCGUAGAUAUUCGGAGGAACACCGGUGGCGAAGGCGGCCAACUGGGCUUUAACUGACGCUGAGGCUCGAAAGUGUGGGGAGCAAACAG